AUCUAGCUGGCGAGUCCCAAAUAGGACGAAACGCGCGUCCUGGAU
rnacentral:hammerhead_ribozyme from 1 species